UGCAAACAUUAACUAAUUUAAAAUUUUUAAGUCAUUGUUGACACAUAUCAGAAACAUGGGUAUGUUCCCAUGAGUUAGUUUUGUUAACUUUGUGGAUGUGUUUAUUAACACCUAUGAUUAAUGAUGAAAAGUUAUGCUGUAUAACUUGGUUUUUUAUGAUAACAAUAAGAAUCACAUCCCAAUUAAGGCCCACACGUGGGAAAAAAUGUCUGUCAUAAAAUAACAUCCUGAUUUACAGUUAUUAAUCAUCAAUAUGAGCUUUAAAAGUAAUCUUCAAAUAGAUCCAACCUUCACAAACAAGUUUAAUCAAGCUUUAUCGAGCCAAGCUCCAAGUAAAUCAAGAAAUUUGGCUCAUUUGCUGCCCAAUUCUCAAUUGACCAUUAAUUGCAAGACUUUGUUGCUCUCUCAUCCUAUAUAAACAUACACAUUAAACAUAUUCUUCACCUUCUUGAACUGAAUCCCUAUUUCUACAACCCAGCAUACCAUAAACAUGCAUCAACAGAGAGUACCCAAAACUGCCCUGUACGAACAAAUAGUUCCAUUGUAAAUUUGUAUCAGUAUUCCACCUCUACAACUGAAGAGAAUGAAUAUUUUCUUCUCAUAUUUCACAAUGAAUGUGUACAGGUAUAUAUAUAUACAAUCUAGUUACCAUAAUUGCGUUCUCAAACAGGAAAAUAAAUCCCUAUAAUCAAUCCUAAACAUACUAGGAAAACAAAAUUGGAAUACAUAUAUGUUCACUUCCUACAACAACAAAUUUUACCAUUUUUUUAAAACUGAAUUUUUACCAUAUUGCUCAAUGCACAAACAUCAGUAGCACAGUUACUGAAGUAGAGGCCUAUCCUACUUCCUCAAAGCUAAAUGCGCAACUAAACAUAUAGUUACUAACAUGCUUUACACAUUAAAGCACAAAAAAUCAGAGAGAGGCAGACAGAUAGAUAGACAGAUAAACACACAUAGAAAGAGAGAAAGAGAGGUAGAAAUGCAAACAUUUGAACGUAUUCCUCUUAGGGAGAGGGAGACAGGAGUGAGGAAGUUAGAUAUUGGCAAACAUAUGAUACACAUUCAUGGUUCAAUUGCAAAAUGUUGCAAUACCUGGUUAAAGCAUAGUCCCUAAACCCAUUAAUCAAGCACUGAGCUUCUAGUGUUCCAAUGCAUCCACGUAAACGAGGCUCACCACCAUUGACCAUUUUCUUCCACGUGACAAAUAGUGGGUGCUGGCCCUCAUCAAAGGCAGGAGGGGGAGCUUCCUCACUGUUGUAGUGAGCGACGAGAGUGUCAAAACAAUAAACCGCCAUCUCCCUGUUCGCUGAAACCAUUUUUUUUCUUUCUCCAGCUCAAUUCGAGUCUCUAUAAGAAACCAAACACAGCACGCAAUUGAUCUUCUCACGAUCCGUAUUAAAUAAGACAGAAAGACGGAUUGAUUUCUCUGUUGAGAGACUAUUUUCUUGGUCCCUUAGUUUCUAAAUAAUGAAGAGAGAGAAGAAAAGCUUACAAGAAAUCACUUUUUUAUUUUUAUUUUAAUUUUUUUUUUAUUUUUUUAUUUUUAUUUUUGAUAUGAUAUAUAGUUUUGAUGUUAUUUUUUCUCAACCUCUUUUUUUGCCAUGGUAUCAUGUGUAAAUACUGCAUGAGAUUCAUGUAUCAUAUCUUUUAUGUGUCAUAUUAUUUUAUCAGUUGUGUCUAUGAUACAAAAACGAGGUAUAUCACUGGACAUUCUAUGCCAUGAAGCAUAAGGUUGGUGGAUGAGAUGUUAUUCUUUACCCUGGAAAAACGAAUUUGAAGAACUGAAAAAAAUCAUGAGAAUCUCUUAGAAGCCUAAAGAGUGCCUUAUGUUAUUUAGUGUUUGUUGCUGAAACUUGUUUUGUUGGCUGGAAGGUGCUGUAUCUGAAGGCUUGUGCUCAAUGUUACAACCCUAGGGCUGACAGUCUCGUAAAAGCAGCUUUAGCUGAAAGCCAAACUUAUAUGAACCUCAUGCUUGACAGAGUCUAGCACUCCAACCGAACUGUUCUGAGUUUGAAGCCCUAAAAUGCAAUCUUCUAGGGCUUGAACUCUAGGUCUCUGUAGAAUUUCCAUUUUUAAAUUAUGUAUGCUUUAGGAGGUGGAGUGGAUCCCUAAUUUGCCCAUGCUUAGCUUAUAUGAGUCUCAUAUAAUCUCUUUAGUGCACAUACUAAAAUCAUAACGACAAUGUCGAGCAAAGGCUAAUAAGGCAUAUCAUAUGAUUGUAACACUAAUUAAUAUAAUUACCCAAAUCAAUGUAAUCAAAAGACUAAGAUGGUUGUAAAAUGCAUCAUAAUUUGUAGUUUCCUGUCAUUAGGGUUAAAAAGUUUUUCCCCCCUUCUCUAGCCUUGAAGUAUUGUCUAAUUAAUCAAUUUUGCCACAACUCGUUGAUUUCGCUUGCUUAGGUAUAUUUUGUAGUAUGUCUUUGUAAAUUGAACAAUUUUGUUAUGUAAUCACCCACUUGAUUAUGGUCACUAGUUGAGCCUAGCUCGCAUAGGUUUCUGGUAGUUUUGCUUUGUAAAUUAAUGAGUAAAAACAAAUGUUUAAUAAUAAUAAUAAUAGUAGUAGUAAUAAUAUGAUGGAAUACGAUAAAAUGAUAUAAUAUAAUUUAAUCUUUUUUUUUUACCCUUGGGGUGGCGUUUGGUACAAGGCUAACAACAAAUAAUUAUUGCUUAACUUUUAACUCCUCAUUAAUGUUGUUUGGAUACUUAAAGAGAUUAGUUAACUUUUCAUUUCAUUAAUGCUUAUACUUCAGGGGUUAAAUGUUAGCCUUGGUACGAGGUUAGCGGAGAGUAAUUAUUAACCUAAUUAACUCCCUGAAAAGGUUAUAAAUAUUAAUGAGGUAAAAAGUUAACAUAGUCCCUUUAAGUAUCUAAACAACAUUAAUGAGCGGUUAAAAAUUAGAAGGGUAAUAAUUGCUCCUUUUUAAUAUCGCACCAAACGCCCCCUAAAGAUUAAAACUUACAAAGGUAACAUUUAACUCCUGAUUUUUUAACUUUCUAUCAAACACAUUCUUAUUGAUAAGAAAUGGGGAUUAAAUAGUUGCACUCUGUUUGCUUAGGCUUUUCCAAUUAAAUAUUACCAGUUUAGCUAUAUGCGACAAUUAUUUGUUCAAAAAUUGAAAUGUUACAUAAAGUCUUAAAUGAGGACAUCAAGUUUCCAAAGAUAGCUGCAUGUACGUCUCUCCAAGAUGCUGAGAUUGUGUGUGAUCCUAUUGUUAUUAUUAUGGUGGUGAUGAUCAGUAGAUUAUUGCAUCAUAUGAUCUCCUUUUAUUAGAAGCAAUGAGCCUUAGCUCAUGGUGCUAGAGUAUGUAUCUAGGGUUGUGAAGUUCUGAGUGUGAACUUAAAGUCAAAAAAUUGAAACACUUCUUUUAUGAGAAGCAGAACAUGGAAGGAUAUAAAAAGGAUGCAAUCUUUAGGUUGUGGCUUUGCUGAGGAAUUCAAUUCUCUUAAAAACUCAAGGAUAUGAUUUGUUGUACUUGAAGAUGUUUGUUAACCCUUCUAUCCAAAAGUAUUGAAAUUGAUGAUGAUGAUGAUGAUUCACCCAGUAUCUAACCAACUAACUUCAGGAUGCAUUCAAAAUUCUCAUGCAUCUUUUCUUAAGCAUGCAUUCAAAAUUCUCAUGUAUUUUUUCUCUCAUAUUUAAGUCAGUGCUGCAGAUGUAUAUUCCUAAAUUGAGAUGGGUGGGGAUUUGAUUUCUUCCAGAAAUUUUUUUUUUCUAAAAAAA
rnacentral:misc_RNA from 1 species